CCUACGGGAGGCAGCAGUGGGGAAUAUUGCACAAUGGGGGAAACCCUGAUGCAGCGACGCCGCGUGAGUGAAGAAGUAAUUCGUUACGUAAAGCUCUAUCAGCAGGGAAGAAACACUGACCUUACGGUCAGCAGACGGUACCUGAGUAAGAAGCCCCGGCUAACUACGUGCCAGCAGCCGCGGUAAUACGUAGGGGGCAAGCGUUAUCCGGAUUUACUGGGUGUAAAGGGAGCGUAGACGGCCAUGCAAGUCUGAUGUGAAAAUCCGGGGCUCAACCCCGGGACUGCAUUGGAAACUGUGCGGCUGGAGUGUCGGAGAGGCAAGUGGAAUUCCUAGUGUAGCGGUGAAAUGCGUAGAUAUUAGGAGGAACACCAGUGGCGAAGGCGGCUUGCUGGACGACGACUGACGUUGAGGCUCGAAAGCGUGGGGAGCAAACAGGAUUAGAUACCCCAGUAGUC
rnacentral:rRNA from 1 species